rnacentral:lncRNA from 1 species
CAGGACCGCGCGGAAGGCACAGGGGCGCGGGGGCGGGCGCAGUCUGACGCAUGCGCACCGGCGGCUGAAGUGCCGCUCAUGCGCAGUGCGCUCCUCCCCUUCGGCGGGGGGGGGGUUGCUGCUCUCCCCGGUGACCGGUGGCGCCGAGCGGGGGGAAACCGGGAGCGACCGUGCGGCGGGGGGGUUCCCCCCCCCCCGCACAGGCACCGGAAGCCGUUUGCACUGCACCGUUUAUUGCUGUGGGCCCAGUUAGCCGAGCUUGGGGGGGACCUGGUGGGGUCACUCCGGAGGCAGAGGUCACUGAAGAAGAAGUUGAACAAGACUGGAUCCAGUACUGACUCCUGGGGGACACUGCUAGCUACAGGCCUCCAACUAGACUCUCUGCCGCUGAGCACAACCCUCUGAGCUCUGCCAUUCAGCCACUUCUCAAUCCACCUCACUGUCCACUCAUCUAACUCACACUUCCUGAGCGUACCUAUGAGGCUGUUAUGGGAGACAGUAUCGAAAGCCUUGCUGAAGUCAAGGGAGACAACAUCCACUGCUGUCCCCUCAUCUACUCAGGCAGUCAUUCCAUCAGAGAAGGCUAUCAGAUUGGUUAAGCAUGAUUUCCUCUUGGUGAAGCCAUGAUGACUACUCCUGAUCACCUUCUUGUCCUCCACAUGCUUGGAGAUGUCCUCCAGGAUGAGCUGCUCCAUCACCUUUCCAGGGAUGGAGGUGAGGCUGACUGGCCUGUAGUUCCCUGGGUCCUCCCUCUUGCCUUUUUUGAAGACUGGAAUGACAUUGGCUUUCUUCCAGUCUUCAGGCACCUCUCCUGUUCUCCAUGACCUUUCAAAGAUGAUGGAGAGUGGCCUAGCAAUAACAUCUGC